CUUUUAGUGUCAGUUUGUAAUUGCUGAUUCUAUUAUGCCUUUUGGGGUUGAUAAAGGAACUGUCAUUAGAAUUUUCCUCUUGUAUGCAGUUACAGACCAUUCAUCUUGUCCAGGUGGGGUUAAAGAAUGGAUUUUCAGGAUCAUUCUUAGACUUCUUUUCUGAAUAAUUUCCAGGUCUUCAUCUCUUUUUUCACUUUCCUCUUCCAGGAGCAGACCUAUAAUUGAAGCUGUUCGUAGCUGGCUAACAGACCUGCAGAGGUACAACUGUGAAGGUUUUGGCUGGGGUGGAGCUGAUUUUCCUCAGAGUAGCCCCGGGGAGUUAGCAAGCGGCUUAGCGGGAGCUGCCAGCUGGGGAUAAACCACAGCACUGCUGCACUUGCUCCACAGGUUCUGCAAGGGGUGACUGGCAUGUGUAUUCACUGGCAAGAAUAAACAGUGUUGCCAGGCCAUUUGCAUGGCCCACAGAACCUCCACGCUGAAAUAUGAUAAACAAGGAAGGGUGAGAGCUUGCUACUCAAAACAUACCCUUAUUUCUCUCGGGCAAUGCCAUGCCAACCUUGCUACGCUGCUCAGUGAGAAAUAUCUGUCAAGACCAAGCUGAAUUUCCUUGGCUUCUGGGGUUCUCCAACUAAGUGCUUUGAGAGGCGGCGUUGGCAGUGGAUCUUCAUCCUUCAGACAGAUCCAGAGGAGAAUUCAUUGCUGGGUCGUUAACUGACGAUUAAAGAAUGAAAGUGGUAACUUGACAACACUUCCAAGUGGCUGGAAAUGCAUGUUUACCUAAUGGAAAUCGUUAUCAGGACUCCCUUCUCAGAUAAGAUCUGGGCAUUACUGUGAAGAGGCAGGAAGGUUUAUCUCUGACCAUGGGAAGCUGACAGCUCUCAUGCUGCGUAUUUUAACAGUUGCCUGUCAGCACCAACCUCUGCCAUUUGAUUGUCACUUCAAUGAGUAAGAUCUGUCAAACUGAACACAAAGAACAAUGUUUCUUAUGGUGGAAACAUUUAGAGUUUAUUUCUCUUUUAUUGUAUUGUAUUAGUUUGCAUCAUUCAGACUGAUUACUUACAUGAAAGGAUGAUACAGGUAUGAAAUACGGGAUUAUUCCAGCUAGAUCAAUUACAAGUAAAGCAGGAUGGAAUUAUUUUUCAGCAUGAGGCAAUUUCAGCCAUUUAAAGA
rnacentral:lncRNA from 1 species